GACGAACGCUGGCGGCGUGCUUAACACAUGCAAGUCGAGCGGUAAGGCCCUUUCGGGGUACACGAGCGGCGAACGGGUGAGUAACACGUGGGUGACCUGCCCUCAGCUCUGGGAUAAGCCUGGGAAACUGGGUCUAAUACUGGAUAUGACUCCACGGUGCAUGUCGUGGGGUGGAAAGCCUUGUGCGGCUGAGGAUGGGCCCGCGGCCUAUCAGCUUGUUGGUGGGGUGAUGGCCUACCAAGGCGACGACGGGUAGCCGGCCUGAGAGGGCGACCGGCCACACUGGGACUGAGACACGGCCCAGACUCCUACGGGAGGCAGCAGUGGGGAAUCUUGCGCAAUGGGCGAAAGCCUGACGCAGCGACG
rnacentral:rRNA from 1 species